GUUUAAGGAUUUGGACCAAGGAGUGCUAGAAGUUCUUUUCUUCCCUUUCUAAAAGACUAAAUUGACACAGUUACGAUAAAGGAUUCUUUUUUAUUUUUAUCUACAUUUUAUAAGUUCUCUUUUUAGUUAGUUAAUUUGGUAAAAUUGGAGAUUUAUUGAAAUAGAUUUCUAUACUUGUUUUGGUGAUUAAUUUUUUGAUAUAUGAGACCUUAUUCAUGAUGAAUGUAUUAUAAUGAUUUGGGAUACAUGU
rnacentral:lncRNA from 1 species